GGAGGGUGAACCUGCGGAAGGAUCAUUACCGAGUGCGGGCCCUCGCGGCCCAACCUCCCACCCUUGUCUCUAUACACCUGUUGCUUUGGCGGGCCCACCGGGGCCACCUGGUCGCCGGGGGACGCACGUCUCCGGGCCCGCGCCCGCCGAAGCGCUCUGUGAACCCUGAUGAAGAUGGGCUGUCUGAGUACUGUGAAAAUUGUCAAAACUUUCAACAAUGGAUCUCUUGGUUCCGGCAUCGAUGAAGAACGCAGCGAAAUGCGAUAAGUAAUGUGAAUUGCAGAAUUCCGUGAAUCAUCGAAUCUUUGAACGCACAUUGCGCCCCCUGGCAUUCCGGGGGGCAUGCCUGUCCGAGCGUCAUUUCUGCCCUCAAGCACGGCUUGUGUGUUGGGUGUGGUCCCCCCGGGGACCUGCCCGAAAGGCAGCGGCGACGUCCGUCUGGUCCUCGAGCGUAUGGGGCUCUGUCACUCGCUCGGGAAGGACCUGCGGGGGUUGGUCACCACCAUGUUUUACCACGGUUGACCUCGGAUAAGGUAGGAGUUGAACGU
rnacentral:rRNA from 1 species